ensembl:lncRNA
GGGGUUGUUGUUGGGGUAAUGGUAAGGGUUGUCGUUGGAGUAAUGGUAGGGGUUGUUGUUGGGGUAAUUGUAGGGGUUGUUGUUGGGGUAAUGGUAGGGGUUGUUGUUGGAAUAAUGGUAGGGGUUGUUGUUGGGGUAAUUGUAGGGGUUGUUGUUGGGGUAAUGGUAAGGGUUGUCGUUGGGGUAAUGGUAAGGGUUGUCGUUGGGGUAAUGGUAGGGGUUGUUGUUGGGGUAAUGGUAGGGGUUGUUGUUGGGGUAAUGGUAAGGGUUGUUUGGGGUAAUGGUAAGGGUUGUCGUUGGGGUAAUGGUAGGGGUUGUUGUUGGGGUAAUGGUAGGGGUUGUUGUUGGGGUAAUGGUAAGGGUUGUCGUUGGGGUAAUGGUAAGGGUUGUUGUUGGGGUAAUGGUAGGGGUUGUGGUUGGGGUAAUGGUAGGGGUUGUUGUUGGGGUAAUGGUAGGGGUUGUUGUUGGGGUAAUGGUAGGGGUUGUCGUUGGGGUAAUGGUAGGGGUUGUCGUUGGGGUAAUGGUAAGGGUUGUUGUUGGGGUAAUGGUAGGGGUUGUCGAUGGGGUAAUGGUAAG